rfam:Pachysolen tannophilus NRRL Y-2460 unplaced genomic scaffold PACTA_scaffold_1, whole genome shotgun sequence.
UCCGAAGUAGUGUAAUGGCUAUCACCUCGCGUUCUCAUCGCGAUAAUCCGGGUUCAAUUCCCGGCUUCGGAG